CCUGGUUGAUCCUGCCAGUAGUCAUAUGCUUGUCUCAAAGAUUAAGCCAUGCAUGUCUAAGUUCAAGCGAAAAUAAAGUGAAACCGCGAAUGGCUCAUUACAUCAGUUAUGGUUCCUUAGAUCGCACUUACUACUUGGAUAACUGUGGUAAUUCUAGAGCUAAUACAUGCGCUGGGCCCCAACCCUCGUGGAAGGGGCGCUUUUAUUAGAUCAAAGCCAAUCGGGCCUUCGGGCUCGUUAACUUGGUGACUCUGAAUAACUUUGCUGAUCGCACGGUCUCGCACCGGCGACGUAUCUUUCAAGUGUCUGCCUUAUCAACUGUCGAUGGUAGGUUAUGCGCCUACCAUGGUGGUAACGGGUAACGGGGAAUUAGGGUUCGAUUCCGGAGAGGGAGCCUGAGAAACGGCUACCACAUCCAAGGAAGGCAGCAGGCGCGCAAAUUACCCACUCCCAGCUCGGGGAGGUAGUGACGAAAAAUAACGAUACGGAACUCUUAUGAGGCUCCGUAAUCGGAAUGAGUACACUUUAAAUCCUUUAACGAGGAUCUAUUGGAGGGCAAGUCUGGUGCCAGCAGCCGCGGUAAUUCCAGCUCCAAUAGCGUAUAUUAAUGUUGUUGCGGUUAAAAAGCUCGUAGUUGGAUCUCGGUUUCGGGCGAGCGGUGCGCCUUGCGGCGUCUACUGUUUGCCCGGACGAUUUUGCUGGUUCGUUCCUGGUUCUCUUAACCGAGUGCCAGGAGUGGCCAGCACGUUUACUUUGAAAAAAUUGGAGUGCUCAAAGCAGGCGCUACAGCCUGAACAUUAGUGCAUGGAAUAAUGGAAUAGGACCUCGGUUCUAUUUCGUUGGCUUUCGGAGUCGAGGUAAUGAUUAAUAGGGACAGACGGGGGCAUUCGUACUGCGACGUUAGAGGUGAAAUUCUUGGAUCGUCGCAAGACGAACUACUGCGAAAGCAUUUGCCAAGAAUGUUUUCAUUAAUCAAGAACGAAAGUUAGAGGUUCGAAGGCGAUCAGAUACCGCCCUAGUUCUAACCAUAAACGAUGUCGACUGGCGAUCCGCUAUCGUUAACUGAAAGACUUAGCGGGCAGCCUCCGGGAAACCAAAGUGUUUGGAUUCUGGGGGGAGUAUGACUGCAAAAUUGAAACUUAAAAGAAUUGACGGAAGGGCACCACCAGGAGUGGAGCCUGCGGCUUAAUUUGACCCAACACGGGAAAUCUCACCAGGCCCGGACACCGGUAGGAUUGACAGAUUGAGAGCUCUUUCUUGAUUCGGUGGGUGGUGGUGCAUGGCCGUUCUUAGUUGGUGGAGCGAUUUGUCUGGUUAAUCCAAAAG
rnacentral:rRNA from 1 species